rfam:Chromatiales bacterium (ex Bugula neritina AB1) isolate AB1-2 AB833_contig000167, whole genome shotgun sequence.
CGCCAACGGCGGUAACACAGUUGGUGAUUAAGCAGAAUUCAGCAGACGGCAUAGUAGCCAAACGCUCAUCGUAAUGGUCGAGACAGAGUGAAGGCC